AUUGAACGCUGGCGGCAUGCCUUACACAUGCAAGUCGAACGGUAACGGGCCUUCGGGUGCCGACGAGUGGCGAACGGGUGAGUAAUGUAUCGGAACGUACCUUUCAGUGGGGGAUAACGUAGCGAAAGUUACGCUAAUACCGCAUAUUCUGUGAGAAGGAAAGCAGGGGAUCGCAAGACCUUGCGCUGAUUGAGCGGCCGAUAUCAGAUUAGCUAGUUGGUGAGGUAAAGGCUCACCAAGGCGACGAUCUGUAGCGGGUCUGAGAGGAUGAUCCGCCACACUGGAACUGAGACACGGUCCAGACUCCUACGGGAGGCAGCAGUGGGGAAUUUUGGACAAUGGGGGCAACCCUGAUCCAGCCAUGCCGCGUGAGUGAAGAAGGCCUUCGGGUUGUAAAGCUCUUUCGGCCGGGAAGAAAUCGUAUCAGCUAAUACCUGGUGCGGAUGACGGUAUCGGCAUAAGAAGCACCGGCUAACUACGUGCCAGCCGCCGCCGUAAGAC
rnacentral:rRNA from 1 species